rnacentral:rRNA from 1 species
UACAGAGGGUGCAAGCGUUGUUCGGAAUUAUUGGGCGUAAAGGGUGCGUAGGCGGGUUUUUAAGUCAGGGGUGAAAUCCUGGAGCUCAACUCCAGAACUGCCUUUGAUACUGAAGAUCUUGAGUCCGGGAGAGGUGAGUGGAACUGCGAGUGUAGAGGUGAAAUUCGUAGAUAUUCGCAAGAACACCAGUGGCGAAGGCGGCUCACUGGCCCGGUACUGACGCUGAGGCACGAAAGCGUGGGGAGCAAACAGG